UACGUAGGGUGCAAGCGUUGUCCGGAAUUAUUGGGCGUAAAGAGCUCGUAGGCGGUUCGUCGCGUCGGCUGUGAAAACCUGAGGCUCAACCUCAGGCCUGCAGUCGAUACGGGCGGACUUGAGUACUGCAGGGAGACUGGAAUUCCUGGUGUAGCGGUGAAAUGCGCAGAUAUCAGGAGGAACACCGGUGGCGAAGGCGGGUCUCUGGGCCGAUACUGACGCUGAGGAGCGAAAGCGUGGGGAGCGAACAGG
rnacentral:rRNA from 1 species